ACCCGCUGAACUUAAGCAUAUCAAUAAGCGGAGGAAAAGAAACCAACAGGGAUUACCUCAGUAACGGCGAGUGAAGCGGUAACAGCUCAAAUUUGAAAUCUGGCCUCUGGUCCGAGUUGUAAUUUGUAGAGGAUGUUUCGAGCGUGGUCCGGUCUAAGUUCUUGGAACAGGACGUCAUAGAGGGUGAGAAUCCCGUAUGCGACUGGGUGCCUAAGCUCAUGUGAAACUCCUUCGACGAGUCGAGUUGUUUGGGAAUGCAGCUCAAAAUGGGUGGUAAAUUUCAUCUAAAGCUAAAUAUUGGCCAGAGACCGAUAGCGCACAAGUAGAGUGAUCGAAAGAUGAAAAGCACUUUGGAAAGAGAGUUAAACAGUACGUGAAAUUGUUGAAAGGGAAGCGCUUGCAACCAGACUUGCAUGCAGUUGAUCAUCCGAUGUUCUCACCGGUGCACUCGAUUGUAUUCAGGCCAGCAUCGGUUUUGGUGGUUGGAUAAAGGCCUUGGGAAUGUAGCUUCUUUCGGGGAGUGUUAUAGCCCUCGGUGCAAUGCAGCCUACCGGGACCGAGGACCGCGCUUCGGCUAGGAUGCUGGCGUAAUGGUUGU
rnacentral:rRNA from 1 species